rnacentral:rRNA from 1 species
CCUANGGGGGGCAGCAGUGGGGAAUUUUGCGCAAUGGGCGCAAGCCUGACGCAGCAACGCCGCGUGAGUGAUGAAGGUCUUCGGAUCGUAAAGCUCUGUCGGCGGGAACGAUGCUUUUGUUGGCCAAUAUCCAACAGAAUCGACGGUACUCGCAAAGGAAGCACCGGCUAACUCUGUGCCAGCAGCCGCGGUAAGACAGAGGGUGCGAGCGUUGUUCGGAAUCAUUGGGCGUAAAGGGCGCGUAGGCGGCUUGGCAAGUUGGAUGUGAAAGCCCCGGGCUUAACCCGGGAAGUGCAUCCAAAACUGCUUUGCUUGAGUGUUGGAGAGGGUGGCGGAAUUCCCAGUGUAGAGGUGAAAUUCGUAGAUAUUGGGAGGAACACCCGUGGCGAUGGCGGCCACCUGGACAAACACUGACGCUGAGGCGCGAAAGCGUGGGGAGCAAACAGGAUUAGAUACCCCANUANUC